rnacentral:rRNA from 1 species
GACGAACGCUGGCGGCGUGCCUAAUACAUGCAAGUAGAACGCACAGUUUAUACCGUAGCUUGCUACACCAUAGACUGUGAGUUGCGAACGGGUGAGUAACGCGUAGGUAACCUGCCUGGUAGCGGGGGAUAACUAUUGGAAACGAUAGCUAAUACCGUAUAAUAUUAAUUAUUGCAUGAUAAUUAAUUGAAAGGUGCAAUUGCACCACUACCAGAUGGACCUGCGUUGUAUUAGCUAGUAGGUGAGGUAACGGCUCACCUAGGCGACGAUACAUAGCCGACCUGAGAGGGUGAUCGGCCACACUGGGACUGAGACACGGCCCAGACUCCUACGGGAGGCAGCAGUAGGGAAUCUUCGGCAAUGGACGAAAGUCUGACCGAGCAACGCCGCGUGAGUGAAGAAGGGUUUCGGAUCGUAAAGCCCUGUUGUAAGAGAAGAACGGGUGUGAGAGUGGAAAGUUCACACUGUGACGGUAUCUUACCAGAAAGGGACGGCUAACUACGUG